rnacentral:rRNA from 1 species
AGAGUUUGAUCGUGGCUCAGGAUGAACGCUAGCGGCGUGCUUAAUACAUGCAAGUCGAGCGAUGAGGUUUCCUUCGGGAGACACAUCAGCGGCGAAUUGGUGAGUAACACGUGGGCGACCUACCCCAAAGACGGGGAUAACCCUUGGAAACAGGGGCUAAUACCCGAUGUGCUCGACAGUUCGUUCUGUCGAGUAAAGCUCUGGUGCUUUGGGAGGGGCCCGCGGUCCAUCAGCUAGUUGGUAGGGUAAUGGCCUACCAAGGCGAAGACGGAUAGGGGGCGUGAGAGCGCGACCCCCCACACUGGCACUGAGACAGGGGCCAGACUCCUACGGGAGGCAGCAGUAAGGAAUAUUGCCCAAUGGACGAAAGUCUGAGGCAGCGACGCCGCGUGGAUGAUGAAGGCCUUCGGGUUGUAAAAUCCUUUUCUGGGGGAAGAGCAAGGACGGUACCCCAGGAAUAAGCCCUGGCUAACUACGUGCCAGCAGCCGCGGUAAAACGUAGAGGGCAAGCGUUAUCCGGAUUUACUGGGCGUAAAGAGCGUGGAGGCGGUUCUGUAAGUUGGGCGUGAAAGCUCCGAGCUCAACUCGGAGAGGACGUUCAAUACUGCAGAACUUGAGGGCAGCAGAGGGAGGUGGAAUUCCCGGUGGAGCGGUGAAAUGCGUAGAUAUCGGGAGGAACACCAGUGGCGAAGGCGGCCUCCUGGGCUGCUUCUGACGCUGAAGGCGAAAGCUAGGGGAGCGAACGGGAUUAGAAACCCCGGUAGUCCUAGCCGUAAACGAUGGAUGCUAGAUGUUGGGGGGUAUAGAUUCCCUCUGUGUCGAAGUUAACGCGUUAAGCAUCCCGCCUGGGGAGUACGGCCGCAGGGCUAAAACUCAAACGAAUUGACGGGGCCCCGCACAAGCAGCGGAGCGUGUGGUUUAAUUCGAUACUACACGAAGAACCUUACCUGGGCUUGACAUGCAGGUAGUAGCGAAGCGAAAGCGGAGCGACCCUUCGGGGAGCCUACACAGGUGCUGCAUGGCUGUCGUCAGCUCGUGCCGUGAGGUGUCGGGUUAAGUCCCGUAACGAGCGCAACCCCUAUCCUUAGUUAUACGUGUCUAAGGGGACUGCCGGCGGUAAGCCGGAGGAAGGUGGGGAUGACGUCAAGUCAGCAUGGCCUUUAUGUCCAGGGCUACACACACGCUACAAUGGCCGGUACAAUGGGUUGCCAAACCGCGAGGUGGAGCCAAUCCCCCAAAGCCGGUCUCAGUUCGAAUUGCAGGCUGCAACUCGCCUGCAUGAAGUUGGAGUUGCUAGUAAUCGCAGGUCAGCAUACUGUGGUGAAUACGUUCCCGGGGCUUGUACACACCGCCCGUCACGUCAUGGGAGCUGGUAACACCUGAAGCCGGUGAGCCAACCCGAAAGGGAGGCAGCUGUCGAAGGUGGGACUGGUGACUGGGACGAAGUCGUAACAAGGUA